UUAACGCUGGCGGUAUGUAUAAUACAUGCAAGUCGAACGCUCCGAUUUAUCGGAGAGUGGCGAACGGGUGAGUAAUACGUUGGAACCUGCCCCGAACUCAGGGAUAACAUCUAGAAAUAGAUGCUAAUACCGGAUAGUCCCGAAAGGGUAAAGAUUUUUCGGUUCGGGAGGGGCCUGCGGCCUAUCAGCUUGUUGGUGAGGUAAUGGCUUACCAAGGCUAUGACGGGUAACUGGUCUGAGAGGAUGACCAGUCACAAUGGGACUGAGACACGGCCCAUACUCC
rnacentral:rRNA from 1 species